UGUGUGUGUGCGUGUGUGUGUGUGUGUGUGUGUAUGCAAGGGUGCGGUUUCAGGGGUUGAAGUCACCCCAGUGCUUGAAUGCCAAGUUUUUCAGGGGGAUAUGAAGCUGUGCAGCUUUACGAGACCUCAGCCUGUGUAGGAUACUUAGAUACUCACACCACAGACGCACGUGCAUAUAAAGUGCAAGUAUACACACACACACACACACGCACACAAACAGCCUCAAAUGUCCUGUGGUCAAAGAUAUGCUGGCAAAAGCACCUAGAAAAACGAAUUAGAGUGAAAAAAAGACGGAACGCACUAAAUAAAAGUGAGAGAAAGUGAGGCAUAUUGAGGUGUAGUCUAUUCCUUUCCCAAAGUCUCUCCUCUUUCCAAACCACACCCCACCACGGCACAGGCCCAAACCCUAAAGCCUUUGUAUGCUCCCUAGCUUUUCCCUCUUUCUCUUUUUGUCUAUACCCCCUUUUUUCCUAUUUCUCAGUGGUUCUUUUUGGUGACCCCCUUUCUCCCCUUUUAUAGCUUAUAAUCUUUUGCUUUAACCGUCUUAAUUGCAGACUUUUUCGUCUUUGUCCUCGGGCUUCAGCCAUGGCCUGAGUCGUCCAUCUCAGCAUUCAACAGCGGCGCUCGGCUUGGCCGUAACAAACAAACUAUAGCAACGGCAGGAGUUGCAAAACACUGACGCCCAGGUUUCCUUUUCAUACUCUCUCUCUCUCUCUCUCUCUCUCUCUCUCUCUCUCUCUCUCUCUCUCUCUCGCUCUCUCUCUCCCUCUGCCCAUGACCGAACAGUCCAGCAUGACCAUCACCUAAGAAAGCCCCUGGAGCACACUGCAGGACUCUGGUGGUUUUCCGAGUCUAUGUCUGCCAUUAGAACGCACAUGAGAAAACCAUAUGGUGUGUCUAAACUUAGCCUGUUGUGGUCUUCCAUUGACAAACGCAGCACUGCCCAUAUACUUGCUGUUUACCAUCGCCUGUGGCUAGGCCAUUAAAUAUUGAAAGUGAUGUAGCAUACUGAUACUGCCAUUAGCAUGCUAAAUGUGUGAGACAGGUGGUCGAGGCCGCCUUUCUAAAGGCUGCAAAAAAUGUGAAAUGGAAAACUGUGCGUUGCCGUACCGUUUACUACACCGUACAGUGUCAAUAUUGUUCGAGUGAGUUGUUUAUGUGUGCUCUGGGAGAGAGCACGCCAGUAAAAUGCACACAGGCAUAUGCAAGCAGAAAGAAAUGGCUGACUGGCUGUUAUGGCUGACAAGCAUAUCAUACACAGUGUGUGGAUCCCAGAGACUCUAUGGAUCUGUUAGCAAUCUGAGUGUGUGUGUGCUGAGCAAUGUGUUACGCCUGCUGCUUUUUGUGUGUGUGUGUAUUUACUGUGUGCAGUCGCUACUCGUACGUUUUUACUCCGACCGGUUCGGAUUACUGCGUCUCUGCCAUGUUUGUAUUCAACAGGAAGAAAACAUAUAUACUUAUUUUCCUAGUCUUUGUGUUUUCAUUCUUUAAUUUUAGCUGUAAAUGCAAAUGUCAUAUUACAGCACACAGGCCAAAAUAACCAUUGUGCAGGCAGUCCAACAGUUAUCUCUAAACUCAACCUGAAAAUCAAUGUUUUUCCAAAAGUCGUCAAAGUGACCUAACUCAGUACACAUCGUGCACAGAAAGUGUGCUGGAAAAAAAAAAUCUCCAAUCUGGUAAUGUUUUUCAUUUCAUGUUGUUUUAACUGGCUGCUGGCCUCGUCCUCCAUGUAAAGAAAACUUGUCCGGACUCUGCAGCACAGCCAAACUUCUGACAAGAGCAAAUAAUACCUUGUGUGAGAAAAAUACAUAUCACAGAAAAGUGGACUGCAUCACACAGUGUUUUCUCGGAGCAGUGUUACCGCACAUGAGCACAGUUGACAGAUGAGUUCAGGACAUCCAUGAUGAUAUGUGGGAGAUUUCUACAGGAAGUGGAUAUAAAAGCAUGCUAGAAGCGGAAUGUCGACACUCAAAAAUGUUGAUGUAUUUCCUGGACACAUUAACCCCAGAACCUCCGAUUCAAGAUGUGAGAGAAUGAACAUCAUUUUGUGGUUAACGUCCCCAUGGUGAAGUGUGACCGUGUAAAAAAUGAUUGUGCUGCAUGCUCCGCUGAGUCCUUUGUGCUCUGAAUGCCCUCCUCCUCUCAGCCGCAGUAAAACUUUUACAGGGGGAACGAGGAGAUUGUUCCUAAUGGAGCGGGGGUUUGUUUGUGUGUCCAGGAAAUAAAGUUUGGGACAUUGAUGCAAUCACGAGGACAGAUGUAGAGCUGUUGUAGUGAGUGUGUGUGUGAGUGUGUGUGUGUGUUUAUACCCUGUAUGUAUCGGAGACGAGGAAGCAUUCAGGCAUCCCUGGGCCUCUAGCAGGAUCGUCGUUUACCAGAAAGCACAGCACCUGCUUACAACUCUUGCACUAUACAUCCACAGCCAGACUGUCUUCUCACUUUAUAGCUC